AAUGCUUUCUACUGGCUGAAAUUAUCACAAUGUCUUCAAUGAGCAGAUCUCGGGGGAGCCUCUCCCCGGCCCCGUCAGAGAGAUCCACAUUGCCUAUGGGUGCAUCUGCGGAGCCAGGAAGCCCUGAAUUUAAACCAUUGGAACCAACUAGAGAAGAGUUACUAGCGCACUUUUUCGAAAGAUUCAAGUUCUAUACAUCGUUAUGCCUUGGGACAUCAGCUAUUCUUGCAGUAUUCGCUUUCCUUUUUCUAAUCCCGUUUGUCGUAGAGCCAGCUAUACAGACGAUUUUAGCAGAAUUCGUCCCGGAAGCUGGAAUCUGUGCAGUAUCAGAACAUGUCCACGCAGAAACACUUACUAAUUGUACAUGGGCAUCGUGCAGAGAAGGUUGCACCACUGCACAUACUAAAUGUCAUAAGAUACGAGUUAAUUUAGCUAGAAAACCUUUUGUAGAAAAUGCACCAGUUCCUACUGAGUGGGAUGAAACAGAUCUAAAAUUUCUUAUCAAUCCAGAAGGUUGUGGGUAUCCACCAAAAGUGAACUGUUCUGUAUUUGCUAGCGAAUAUGCUGGAGCUAAAGCGCCGAAAAUUUUUCCAUGUUACUAUAGUUUGACAAGACCCGAUCUAGUUGUUGCGAGGUAUUCUUGGGAUACAACUGUACGUGGUUUAGUUCUCGCACUCGUAUUACCUACGGCGGUCUUCGUGUUCAGUUUGAGUGUACUCGCAUAUUGGCACUGUCGUUGCUGUGAGAGAGCAUGCAAUAGACGAGUACACGCCGAAUCGUUUGCCAGCAAAGAGGAGUGAUUCAUGUAUUUAAAUACUGGACUUUCAGGCUCGAUAGCGAUUUCAAGUUUGGCGAUGGAAAGUCUUAGUUGCCGUAGUUGCCAACUAGUAAUUAUAUACAAUAGCAAACUCCUCUGUGAAUUAG
rnacentral:misc_RNA from 1 species